GACUUUUGCCCUAUGUCCUAGAUAAAGAGAACAACUAAGUUCAUGUACCUGGAGAAUUUCUACUUGGCUGAACAGGACAAAGGGUGGUGCGUAAGAGUGCAGGCGGCAUCUGAGUCACGGAGGCACUUCUGUAAGAGAAGACACGAAUUCCUGCAGGUCAGGAGUAUUUCCCCUGGGACUUGGAAAUGCCAAGCUUGGACCUGGAAGCUCUUUCCAUACUGGCUAGCUUCUGUGGUAUAGAAGGUGAAGGCGUCACGCAAUCUGCUGGAGGAGAAGAGUCCCCAACCGGCAACUCGGACCAUGGCAACGAUGGCCAACCUGCUGCCCCGUCAACUUCGAAAGAUUGAACACCCAGAAAUAACAAUCAUUAAAAGCCCCUGCCUCUAGAUUCCUGUCUUGGGUCCCUGUCCUCAUUUCCUUCAUGAAGAACUGUAACCUGCAAGCUGGAAUAAACCCUUUCCUCCCUAGGUUACUUUUGUUCACGGUGUAUAUCCCACAACACGAAGCAAAUUAGAACAGAUUACAUACAAGGGCACAGGUGACUGGAAAGCAGCUCAGUGAAGCUCAUCCUGGCACUGGUGACAGACUGAUAAGCUCAGUCAACCAGAAUGUUUCCUUUCCGCAGCAACUGCCAUUGCUAAGACCACCUUAGGAGGGAGCUGGAGCUGGUGAGUCUGUUAUGUUGCAGAAGCUUCCUAGCCUUGCUAGUGUUGCUCCCGAGUCUCCUGAGUCUUAGGAACUCUAGCUGGGAAAGCUUGGACUCAGAAGAAAUGGCUACAUAGACAUGCGUGACCCCCCCCCCACUCCCCUACUGCCAAAUUGUAGGAUUCAUUUAGGCCCCAGGGCUGUACCUAUCCAGAAAAUUAGCCCUGACUCUGGAGAGCUGGAGCCUAUGGAACAUAGAGUCGUGUCUCACUCUACCUCCAUGCAGUCUUCGACAAUAGAAGGAAGAAAAUUUAAGCAACUCCCUCAGUACUUUCCUUUCAGUAUAUGCUUAACAGCACAUAUCCUAUAACCAAAGAGCACAGAUGGGACAAUGAGGUCUUAAUUAGAUCUUGAAUUUAUGCAAUUAGCUACUGUUACAAUUAUAAAUUCUACAAUGCACCAUUACAAAGACACUCUAAGCCUAUCUCAUCGCUUCGCUUUGGUCAGUCCUGGAGGACUAUACAAUUGGCAAAGCAGUUCACAGGAACUGAACAACCACUUAAAACAUGACGUGAGUUAAAACUGUGUCUGAGUUCAGGUGCCAGGCAGUAUUUCUCAUUCUGGCUACCAAACAAAAUGUGAAUGAAGAUACAGAUCUCAUCAUUACUGCUAGGAAACAUUGUUUCUGAAUGGAUAAAGUCUUAGUCUAUGUUAGGAUGGUUCCUCCAUAUCAGGAGUUGAAACACAGACCCAGAUGUACUCAGAAUGCACCAGAUAACACAACUAGACUUUUCUCCAUGGAUGAGAACACUGGAGGUAGGUGGAUAGUAUUAGACUGUGGUUCUCAACCGUCCUAAUGCUAACACCCUUUAACAUAGUUCCUCAUGUUGUGGCAACCCCCGGACACAAAUUAUUUUUAUUGCUACUUCAAGACUGUAAUUUUGUUACUGUUUUGAAUUGUUAUGUAAAUGUGUUUUGGAGAUAGGGGUUUGCCAAAGGAGUCUUAACUGUGGUGACCCACAAGUUGAGAAGCACUGUUAUAGAAGUUGACAGUGGUACCUUUGAGUGUCUAGAGAGAUGGCUGAACAGAGAAGAGAGCAUACUGCUCCUACAGGAGGCCAGAGUUUGGUUCCCAGCACCCACAUCAAGUAACUCACAAUUUCCUCUAACUCCAGUUCUGGAGGAGCCAAUGAUCUUGUCUCCAUGGGAACCCACACACAUGUACACUUACCAACACACCAACAAACACACGUGCCCAUAAUUAAAGAUGACUAUAAAAAUAAAUAUUAAAAAGAAUGCAGUUGGCACAUUUUCACCCAUCUGCCUUGACAAAAUAAUGAUCAUUUAAAGAAUGAAAAUGGUCCAUCUGCCCGACCCACUGAGUGUGUGGUUUUCAUCUUUACCUCCAAAGAGCCUCCUAUGGCGAAUGAAACCCUUCCAUUGUCCUGUUUUUCAUAUAAUUCACCCAAAGGGAAGAAGUAGCCUAUGGAGUAAGGUGAAGGUGGUCAGAUAGGUGCUCCAUCCUCAAAGCAUUAGCUCCUACAAUUAAAGACAGUCUGUGGAGAGAGAGAGACAGGGCACAAGGAAGUCUCAUAGUAACAGAGAAAUGAUUGAUAGGAAUGGAUAGAGAUUUUGGGCAAUCAGAGACAUGUGAAAUAAGACAUUUUUUCCAGAUACAUCAAUUCUAGUUAGCUAGUGGCAUAAGUAUGGGAUGGAGUGGGGAAAGGCCUGGAUGGUAGCACAAAUCAUCUUGGUUUACACCGGAAUCUGUGUCUAGUAGAAGGAAAUACAGAACACAACAUUAAUUAGUACCAUGGGUGAGGAAGGGGGAGUUUAUUAUAAAUCUGUAUUUGUUGCUCUUACAGAGGACCCAGGUUCACUUCAAGAAUCCAUAUGAUUCAUAGCCAUCCAUGAUUGAAGUUUCAGGGAAUCCAGUACCAUCUUCUGACCUUCAUGUGUACCAAGCAUGCAUGGACAAGGUACAAAAACAUACAGGCAAAACACUCCCACAUGAAAUUAAUAAAUCCAACUUAAAAAUAAAAAAAAUAUUUUCCUUAUAUUUAAGAAUGUCCACCUAUCCAUUCAUAAAGUUUGAUUAAAUAAAAGUUUAUCCACUCU
ensembl:lincRNA 2900079G21Rik RIKEN cDNA 2900079G21 gene